UUUCCGUAGGUGAACCUGCGGAAGGAUCAUUAUCAAAACAGCGGACUUCGGUCCUUGCUGCACCCUUGUCUUUUGCGCACUCAUGUUUCCUCGGCGGCUUGAUACCCGCCGGCUGGAUCAAUCUAUAACCUUUUUAAUUUUCAAUCAGCGUCUGAAAAACCUAAUAAUUACAACUUUCAACAACGGAUCUCUUGGUUCUGGCAUCGAUGAAGAACGCAGC
rnacentral:misc_RNA from 1 species